rfam:Beta vulgaris subsp. vulgaris chromosome 8, whole genome shotgun sequence.
CCGACCUUAGCUCAGUUGGUAGAGCGGAGGACUGUAGUUAGUCAAGCAGAUGAUCCUUAGGUCGCUGGUUCAAAUCCGGCAGGUCGGA